rnacentral:lncRNA from 1 species
UCUUAAGCAAAAUAGACUAGAAAAAGAAUAAUAAGAGUUAGAGAGUAUUUGCUAGUGACUGUAGUGAGUUAAGGAGUAGAUUAGUUGGACAGACUUUAACAAGUGACUUAGAUCACUUAAAGGCUAUUGGCACUUCUAACUAUACAUGUACACUGAUAAGGCAAAAUAGGUGCCAUUUGUAAGACUAAUUGAGGAUUCAAUUAUCACUAAAAAUUGGUGAUUGAUAUACACUUCAAUCAAAAAUUUGAAUUUGAGAAAAGAGCUAACUACCUAAAAUAAAAGUGCAAAUAAAGAGUAUACGUGGAUUGCCCUAAGCUUAGUAAUCGGAUCUCUGCCCUAAGUCAAGUGUGGAGGCUCGCAUCAAAUGGUAAAAGGAAGACCAGGAUGCUCAGCACUAAAAAAAAUAAAAAAAA